rnacentral:lncRNA from 1 species
GCCACCGGUGCGAACCGGUUGAUGAAUGGCGCGGAGUGCUAGCGGGUCCUCGCCACCCGACGCGCCCGACGCUAGAGCCGCGAGUUCGUCUCCACUUGGAACGCCGCUUAGGCGAGAGGAACCCUGUAGCCCGAGGCUAUAGCUCUGUCGCGCCGGCCAACGGUUUAUCUUGGCACUUGCGCCCCGGGAUCUCCGUCAUCACCCCAUAUUGAUGUCGCAUGACCGCUGGGCGGGUGACUCACCACUCCAGAGCCCGGCUCUAGGCUGGGACUAGGGAUUCUCGUCACCAUCCGCACUUCCACGUGGGAAGGCUCUCCGCAGAGAUUAGCCCUCGAGACUGGGAAAUGUCCCUAAUUUUUUUUUUUUUUUGAGGCAAUUGAAGCCUAGUUGCUCCCGAUCCUUUCUUCUUCCCCCCUUCUUUUUAGAUUACACCCCCAAACUGCUGAUGCUGGCAACUGCAGUUGGCUCGAUUGUGGCAUUUCGAAAUCACAUGCAUCCUUUGUACUGCUGCUCACUCACAGAUAAUGAAAGAUGUCUCUUCUGCAUCAUAUGGUAUCAAGAAACAUGUGAGAUAGUCCUAAGAAUUCAACCCAGGACCUCACCAUGCUAGCAGACAUCUGACUCCCUGGCAUGAUCAUCACACUCACGGUCAGAACGGCAGCACACACUCUGGCACUGAUGCCGGGAACUGUGAGUCACUGCUCCGGGUUCUUCCUGGUGUGGAAGUGAGUCUCCGAAGAGGGAGAAAGAGCAGUCUGUCAGAUACUUCAUGCACUAUAUCCCAUGGAAUUAUUUAAGAUGAGUAAAACUCUUUUGAGAAAUUAUUUUCUUUGUUCAAAGACUCAUACGUGGAUCCUUCCUGAAAAAUAUGUGAUUAGUCUUUUUAUCUAAAAGACCAUGGAAUUCUUCAUUUUCUCAGUUUUUUUUUUCCUACCUCCUCUUUCUUCAUCCGUUAUUUUCAACGAUAAAAAUGUAAACUUUGUUACAAGGUCAUUUGGAACUGGGAGCUUUUAGAAAAACAUUGAAUGAAAUAAAACAUAGUCAGUGACUAUAUGACUUUA